rnacentral:rRNA from 1 species
GACAAACGCUGGCGGAAUGUAUUAGGCAUGCAAGUCGCACGAGCCUUCGGGCUAGUGGCGGACGGGUGAGUAACACGUGGGUAACCUGCCUCGUAGUGGGGAAUAACUCGCCGAAAGGCGAGCUAAUACCGCAUAACACCCCUGGUGAGAGUCCAGGCGGUAAAAGCUCCGGCGCUACGAGAGGGGCCCGCGGCCGAUUAGCUUGUUGGUGGGGUAAUGGCCUACCAAGGCGACGAUCGGUAGCNGGUCUGAGAGGAUGGUCAGCCACACGGGGACUGAGAUACGGCCCCGACUCCUACGGGAGGCAGCAGCUAAGAAUCUUGCGCAAUGGGCGAAAGCCUGACGCAGCAAUUCCGCGUGGUGGACGAAGGCCCUCGGGUCGUAAACCCCUUUUGCGAGGGAAGAAGUUCUGACGGUACCUCGCGAAUAAGACACGGCUAACUACGU